UGCGUAGGGUGCAAGCGUUAAUCGGAAUUACUGGGCGUAAAGCGUGCGCAGGCGGUUUUGUAAGACGGAUGUGAAAUCCCCGGGCUCAACCUGGGAACUGCAUUCGUGACUGCAAGGCUAGAGUGUGUCAGAGGGAGGUGGAAUUCCGCGUGUAGCAGUGAAAUGCGUAGAGAUGCGGAGGAACACCGAUGGCGAAGGCAGCCUCCUGGGGUAACACUGACGCUCAUGCACGAAAGCGUGGGGAGCAAACAGG
rnacentral:rRNA from 1 species